GGAUAUAGCUCAGUGGUAAGAGUGCAUGCCUAGCAUGCAUGAGGUUCUGGGUUCAAUCCCCAGUACAUCCA
rnacentral:tRNA from 1 species